GUGGCUAGAUCAUAUGUGGGGUGAGAUUUGCUGUUACUUGGCUGUUAUAAAUAUUCUCAGCCUGAUUUUUACUCUGUAAACUUGAAGUGCCCUUAUCACUUUCCAAACCCCUUUAGAGGAAUGGGGGAGCCAAGAAUAGUACCAAUGUUAGCAACAUAUGUACAGACUUAAGAUAAAUGGCCUGUCUACUUUGAUAUCUGUAACACUAAUUGCCACCUGUAAAGGAAUAGUAGGGUCAGCAUUUAACAUCAGCACCACCAACAAAAAAAAUGUAGACUAGAUCAGGCAUUAAAUAGCAGGUAUCUAUUGUGUCAUCCACUGUAUUAAUAAUCAGAGCAACAAGAGUAGUGUAGGAAUUAGAUAAACUAUAUAAUUCUCAGUGGGAGUUCAGUUUCUUAAGAAAAAUAGGGUAACAAGGCAAGAGAAUAUUGAAAUACUGAAAUAUUUAAAUAACAAGGCAGAAGAUAGGUAGCAGAUGACAGCUGUAAAGGAGGAGAAUAACUAAAAGUAAUAAAAAAUGAAUGAGAGGAAGAGGGAACAGGAAAAAUUGACUAUUAGUUGGGGAAGAGAGUGAAGGAGCAAUAAGAGGGACAAAAACCAAAGGACAAACAAAUAUAAGAUCAAAAGACAAUUCAAACCUAUGUAUAAUUAUACCUCAGCUAAGUCAAACCAAGGCUAAAUAAUAAAUGAAGAAGAAAGCAAUGAAAUGAAAGUAAGAUUAUAUGUAUAUUUAUAUAAAUAUAUAUGCACACACACACACAUAUAUAUAUAUAUAUAUAUAUUUAAACCUAUUUGCAAGUGAGAACACCCACAUUCACAAACCCACAUACACACCAUCUUGCAGUAUAGAAAAAAAGUAAAAAAAUGAUAAUGAAACAUUUGAAAAAAUUUAAAAAUUAAAUGUAAAAUAUUAGGGAGGGGAAAUAUGGAAAAAAGGACAUGAAGAAAAAAUUCUUAAUGAGAGAUAAAGGGCUUUUUUUUCACAUAGGAGAUCAAAAUUAUUGGCAAGGAGGGAUUUUCAUUCUUUUUAUUUUUGGGCUCUGUAACCGAGUAAACAGCUGGGGUUUGUUAAGUCCAAUGUCUUUGU
rnacentral:lncRNA from 1 species